CGCCAAUCAGCGGAAGCCGCCGGGGCCGCCUAGAGAAGAGGCUGUGCUUCGGCGCUCCGGCUCCUCAGAGAGCCUCGGCUAGGUGUGGAAACAGGAAGAGAACUAGAACUGGAAGUAAAGCAUUGAAGAUGUGACUGAAUUGCUGCAAUCUCAUGAUCAAAUUUGAAUGGAUGAGGAGUUGCUUUUUAGGGAUGAGCAAAGAAAGUGGUUUCUCGAGAUGGAAUCUACUGGUUGCUCCUUGAGGGCAGGACAGUUCUUAUGGCUUUAUCCGUUGCGUAAGCACAGAGAGGUCUGCGAGGUCAAAACUAUUGUCAUGAUAGCAAGAUGCCUGUCUUUUUCAUUUAUUCUCACGGUGUGCAGAGGCUACAUGAUGUGUGAUGACAUCCUCAUUGAUGUUAAUGAAUGGUGCUAUACUUGAAUUUUCUAAGGUGUCAUUAGCAAUUCUCCUGCCUCAGCCUCCUGCAUAACUGGGACUACAGGGAAGCACCAUUUUCCACAAAACUCUCAAGAAGGACUUGUUGCAACUGGAAAAGCAAUUAAAUGUGAAUCGUGAUCCAGGAGAAAGUAACAACUCACAUAACUCCCAAAUUAAAAGUUUUCCAAAGAUAUAUCAUUUUUUUUCUCUUGGCCUUUUAAGAAACUAGCCAACAAAUACUCUUGACAGGUUUGUGUUUGGUUUUGAAAACACACACCUUAGUGUACUGAAAGAAAAACAAUUUCUUUUAAUUUGGUUUGUUGGUCCCACACCCCAUCUAUCAAUGUAUGUGCUAUUUACAAAUAAGUUCUAUACAGUAUUUUUGCAGUACCUUUGAUAAUUCCUAGACCUCUAUUUUCAUUCUGUGUAUUAAUGUGAAUAACAGAUGGAUAUUUUAAUAUUUAAGGCAGAUGGUAAACUUUCCUAUAGGUCUUGUGAGACUUCGUCUUAUAGGCUGAACACCAUUCACAAAAUGUAAUAAUGCUUCAUUCCUUCAGGUUGAGGUAAAGAACUUGAGCAACUGGAUUAGCAAAGCUGCAAAGAAUGAAAUGUGGCCUAAGAUGUAAUUAUGUUCUCUGCCCUUCCUUUGGGCCAGGGUAGUUUUGCACUUGACACAAUGGAAAAUAGGCCAUAAAGCCUGAAAAUAAAAUGUUCUAAACCCCAA
rnacentral:lncRNA from 10 species